rnacentral:rRNA from 1 species
CCUACGGGUGGCUGCAGUGGGGAAUAUUGGGCAAUGGGCGCAAGCCUGACCCAGCAACGCCGCGUGAGCGAUGAAGGUCUUCGGAUUGUAAAGCUCUGUCGCAGGGGACGAAGUAUGACGGUAUCCUGUAAGAAAGCCCCGGCAAACUACGCGCCAGCAGCCGCGGUAAUACGUAGGGGGCUAGCGUUAUCCGGAUUUACUGGGUGUAAAGGGAGCGUAGACGGCAUCGCAAGUCUGGAGUGAAAUCCCAGGGCUUAACCAUGGAACUGCUUUGGAAACUGUGCAGCUGGAGUGCAGGAGGGGUAAGCGGAAUUCCUAGUGUAGCGGUGGAAUGCGUAGAUAUUAGGAGGAACACCAGUGGCGAAGGCGGCUUACUGGACUGUAACUGACGUUGAGGCUCGAAAGCGUGGGGAGCAAACAGGAUUAGAUACCCGAGUAGUC